AUACGGAGGAUGCGAGCGUUAUCCGGAUUUACUGGGUUUAAAGGGAGCGUAGGUGGGAUAUUAAGUCAGCUGCGAAAGUUUGGGGCUCAACCUUAAAAUUGCAGUUGAUACUGGUUUCCUUGAGUACGGUACAGGUGGGCGGAAUUCGUGGUGUAGCGGUGAAAUGCUUAGAUAUCACGAAGAACUCCGAUCGCGAAGGCAGCUCACCGGGCCGGAACUGACACUGAUGCUCGAAAGUGCGGGUAUCAAACAGGAUUAGAUACCCUGGUAGUCCGCACAGUAAACGAUGAAUACUCGCUGUUUGCGAUACACUGUAAGCGGCCAAGCGAAAGCGUUAAGUAUUCCACCUGGGGAGUACGCCGGCAACGGUGAAACUCAAAGGAAUUGACGGGG
rnacentral:rRNA from 1 species